rnacentral:lncRNA from 1 species
GAAACACAGCUUUCAAAACUGUUACCUGUAUAAUUAAUGGGCUUUCCAAGGCUUGUCUGUAAAUCCCUGGUAGUGGUUACGGUGGUAGGUAUGGGAACUAGCAAGUUAUGCUGAAUUAGCUUAAUGUCUAAUACAUCAAAUUAGACCUCUUUCUGGAAUUGUUCUCUGGCCAAAGUCAUUGACAUUUUUUAGAGACUAAGAGGCAUUCAUCUGAAAGUUUUCUACCUUAUGCUGAUAGCUCUGCUGUUCUAUUUGAUGUGGUCUGCAUAUCGGCAUCAUCAGUGUCUGUGGAAGUAGUAAGCAGCCCUAUUAAAAGGAGAACUAACUGCAAACACUAGGGCCUCUGGAAGGCUCUCCUGGCUCUCUCCUGGACAGGUGACCCUCCCUGGACACCACAUUCUGUUCACCUGCCCAGCCUUCAGACCAGCUCCUCUCUACUGCUCUGCUGGCUCUGCAUAGGUCACAACCUUCAUUUUAACCAUCAUGGCAUUUUAUUUUUUAUUAUUAACUUUUUAGACAGGGACUCACUCUGUCACCCAGGCUGGAGUGUGGUGGUACAAACUUGGCUCACUGCAACCUCUGCCUCUUGGGCUUAAGCAAUCCUACCCCAUCAGCCUCCUGAGUAGCUUGGACUACAGGUGUGUACCAUCAUGCCCAGCUUAUUUUUAUAAUUUUUGGAGACCGGGUUUUGCCACAUUGCCCAGGCUGGUCUCGAACUCCUGAGCUCAAGCAAUACACUCACUUCAGCCUCCCAAAAUGUUGGGAUUACAGGAGUGAGCCACCAUGUCUGGCCAAUAGCAUUUAAUAUACCUUCAUCUAUCUCAAUUUUCUCCCUUUUUAGCUUUCAUUGAUAUCUUUAGUUUUGUUUUGCUUCAUUCUUCCUUGGUUGCAUCUCUUUAUCAGGAUAACUUCUAAAUAUAAUGUAUAAAGAAAAAUUUGCAUAUUGUAAAAAAAUUAAUCUUGAUAAAUACUAAAAUUGUCAAUGAAAUACAAAUGUGUCAAGAUGUUCACACUAUAAGAAGCUUAGAGGAAUUGAAACCUACUGAGGGAAUAACAUAUUCAUGUCUCUCUCAUGCCCCAUUGAGACCAAGUCUAUGCCAAUAAAUGUUAUUUAAAGCCAUGGGAGUUAAUGAUAUUUUCAACAAGGAUAUAGAAAGGUUCUCAACUGGGCAUGGAUAAGUGUAUCAGAAUUGCCUAGAAAUAAAUUCUAAAUUACAUAUCUAGAAUAGACAAAGCAAUCCCCCCAAAAGGAAAGAAACUUGGAGGUAUUGCAUUAUUUAAUUUCAAGAAUUACUGUCAAGUGACAAUAAUUGAGACAUCGUGGCACUUGAAUAUGAAUUAGCAAAUAGAUCAACAUGGCUCAUGCCUGUAAUCCCAGCACUUUGGAAGGCCAAGGUGGGUGGAUCGUUUGAGGUCAGAAGUUCAAGGCCAGCUUAGUCAACAUGGUGAAAAUUGUAAAUAUAAUUUCUUCAGUCUUCCUGCCAUAACCCAGCAGGACAAACCCCAUUUUCUCAUUAUUUGUCCUCAUAGUAUCAUGUAUUUGCUUUUCAGAGUAGUUAUUGCAAAUAUAAUUAAUUGAUUAUUUGAUCCCCUGCUAGCAGACUGUAAGCACCUUGUGCACUGUGGCAAUGUUCGUCUCAAUCUCUUUGUAUCCCCAGACCCUAAAGCAGUGCCUGGCAAAGAAAGACAGUCAAUAAAAACUUGUCGAAUGAUGAUGAUGCAAUUAGGAAAUAUAAUUCCGUUCUUUAUUAUACACUAUAUCCAUGUUGAACAAGAUAUCCUAGUAAACAUCUUAGAAACCCUUUCUAUGUUUGGGGACUUCCCCAACUAAUGAGAUUGCUUCCCACAAGUGAAGCUCACAAUGGCAGACACUGAAGCUUAGGAGUAGAUAAUUGACCUAGAUUGAGUGAUCUGAUUAAUAAGCUUUUUUAAAAAUCCAAGAAAUAAAGGCAGCUUUUGUUGCUUGGAUUAAGAACACAAAUUAAAAUUUGAUACCAGAAGUGGGCUAGUCCACAGCAGAAGGAAAAAGGUUUGAAGUGAUGAGAAUGGAAAGAAUAAAGACUAGGAAUGGGCUCAAAACCUGAAUUUCUUCUCAUUAAGUUUCAUCAACCUACUGCCAUUGAUGAAUUUUCAUUUUUCAGUAACACCAGCUAAUCAAACCUUAACUCUUUGGGGGGCCAGCCAAGUGGAGGGUGU